UUAAGUUCAGCGGGUAUCCCUACCUGAUCCGAGGUCAAACCAUAGAAAGUUGGGUUCGACGGCUGGCCUUCGCCGGGGCCCGAUGCGAGAGAGAACUACUACGCAGGGGGCGCCGCGGCGGGGCCGCCACUUCAUUUAGGGGGCUGCGGGCUCGCGCCCGCAGGGCCCCAACACCGGGCGCGGCCGGCCCCGGAGGGACG
rnacentral:misc_RNA from 1 species